rnacentral:rRNA from 1 species
UACGAAGGAUCCAAGCGUUAUCCGGAUUCAUUGGGUUUAAAGGGUGCGUAGGCGGUUUUGUAAGUCAGUGGUGAAAUCUCCCAGCUUAACUGGGAAACUGCCAUUGAUACUGCAGAACUAGAGUACAGAUGACGUUGGCGGAAUGUGUCAUGUAGCGGUGAAAUGCAUAGAUAUGACACAGAACACCGAUUGCGAAGGCAGCUGACGAAACUGCAACUGACGCUGAUGCACGAAAGUGCGGGGAUCAAACAGGAUUAGAAACCCUGGUAGUCC